rnacentral:SRP_RNA from 1 species
GCCGGGCAUGGUGGUGCGUGCCUGUGGUUCCAGCUACUCUGGAGGCUGAGGCUGGAGGGUUACUUGAGCCCAGGAGUUCUGGGUUGUAGUGUACAGUGCGCUAUGCUGACUGGGUGUCUGCACCAAGUCCGGCAUCAAUAUGGUGACCUCCCAGGAGCGGGAGACCACCAGGUUGCCUAAGGAGAGGUGAACUGGUCCAGUUUGGAAAUGGAGCAGGUCAAAACCCCACUCUCCACAUGCACUGGGGAAGCUGUAUUAGCGGUGAACCAGUGCCUCAGGUGUCUCUCCCCCUUCCC